GAAGCACAGCGCGCAAAUUACCCAAUCCAGACUUUGGGAGGUAGUGACGAGAAAUACCGGAGUAGACCAUAAAUUGGUUCACUAUCGGAAUGAACGUAAUUUAAUACCUUCGAUGAGUAACAACUGGAGGGCAAGUCUGGUGCCAGCAGCCGCGGUAAUUCCAGCUCCAGUAGUGUAUAUCAAAAUUGUUGCGGUUAAAACGCUCGUAGUUGGAUUACAAAAGCUCUACGAUGGCCAAGUCAAAAGUGUUUGGUCGUUGUGGGGUUUUUUUAUCGCGAGAGCCGUAUGUGGGAUUAAAUUCUUGUGUGCGGUCACUUGCGAGAUGUGCCUUGAAUAAAGCACAGUGCUCAAAGCAGGCGUAAGCUCGAAUGUAAUAGCAUGGAACGAAUAUGUUGACCGUGUUGACUGUUGGUUGUUGACAUUGGUCUCGAUUAAAAGGGACAUUUGAGGGCGUUAGUACUUGGCGGCGAGGGGUGAAAUCCUUAGACCCGUCAAAGACUAACUAAUGCGAAAGCAUUCCCAAGAGUGUUUUCAUUAAUCAAGAACGAAAGUUGGAGGUUCGAAGACGAUCAGAUACCGUCCUAGUUCCAUACAGUAAACUAUGCCAACAUGGGAUCACCCGGAGCUAUCAGGGUGGGCCUCUGUGAAAACAAGUGUUUCGCUUUCGGGGGAGUGCGCACCCCAAUGUCAACUUAAAGAAAAUUGACGGAAUGGCACCCCCAGGAGUGGGAGCCUGCGGCUUUAUUUGACUCAACCCCGGGGAAACUCCCCAGGGUCCAAACAUUUGAUAAGGAUUGACGAUGAGAGAUCUUUCAUGAUAGAUGAUUGGUGGUGCAUGGCCCUU
rnacentral:rRNA from 1 species